rnacentral:misc_RNA from 1 species
UACGAAGGGCCCGAGCGUUGCGCGGAAUUAUUGGGCGUAAAGCGCGCGCAGGCGAUCCCUUAAGUCUGAUGUGAAAGCCCACGGCUCAACCGUGGAGGGUCAUUGGAAACUGGGGGACUUGAGUGCAGAAGAGGAAAGUGGAAUUCCAUGUGUAGCGGUGAAAUGCGUAGAGAUGUGGAGGAACACCAGUGGCGAAGGCGACUUUCUGGUCUGUAACUGACGCUGAGGCGCGAAAGCGUGGGGAGCAAACAGG